AUGCGCCAACCCCGCCAUCAGCUGUCGAUUCAGCUGCCUACUUACACCCUCGUCGCCCUCCCUAGUCCAUUAACAUCACCCGCUCCUUUCAACUCUCGUAUAGUUCUUUGUGGCCCUCAAAUCUGGAAGCCCUCAGCCAUGACGCUGCCGGAUCUGAUCUGCUUGGCCUUAUCACCGCAACCAAUAGGUGCUCGGCGCGAUGACACCUCUCCUCAGGACCGCAAGGGUAUUCUUCAUCGGCUCUCUAUCCCUCUGCCUCCUUCACCAUGGAUCGGCCUUCUUCCCUUUCUUGAAGCUCCUCCUCAUCCAACUGGUUACCUGAUGUUGCCAUGUGGACCAUGCUCACUCGUGCCUUUGCUAGCCAGUACCAGGUUUGGUUGCCACCUCCUUUGCACAAUUCGUCAAGCAGGUCAUCUGUGUGGCGUAUGUGUGCUAUUGUAA
rnacentral:rRNA from 1 species